UCCUCUGUGUGUGGCCCCACAGAAAGGCGGUACAACUGCAGUGAACUCAUCUUCUGUCACCGCAUCAUCGUAUCAUUUCAGACCAUCCCAUCAUGCUGUAAAGACGAGUGGGACGGGUCCUGAACUCUAGUGUAUGAUGCGGAUUUGCACUAAUGAGUCUGGUACGGGGCUGAACUCUGGCACUGACGGUGCCCAGCUGCUUCACACCAGCUGAGGACCUGACCCAACCAGGUUUGGAUUUGAAGCAACAGUCGAGAGAGUUUCUUUGGGCACUUUCUUCGCAAAAAUUGCAGCAAUCCGCUCUGAGGUCUCAAGCAGAUGCCAAAGACAAGAAGGGCUGGCUGUUGGCACAAACAAAGCAAGAUGCCACAGGGAGCCCUGCUCCAAGGGACCCCAAGAUUCCAUGCUAAUACUGCAACUCGGGGCUUGUCAACCCCCCUCUCUGAAGGCAUAACUAAGGUAGCAGACGACUCAAGGCUCCUUCCAGGAUCUUCGAGCCCCACAAAUUUUAAGACUGGCUCUGGAUCCCCCCCUAGGACUUCAGUAA